ACCUCCAAAAUUUUCAUUUUUCCUCAGUUUUUCUUCUUCUCUUCUUCCUAUCCCUAACCUAUUCUUUUUACCAAAUCGAACAGCAACAGAAAUCUCUCUCGAAUCCUUUCUUCUUCGUCGAAAUCGAAAUCCAGUUUGAUCUUCAUCAAUUUCACACCCUAAAUCUCCAUUCAUCUUUACUCAAUUUCGACUUUAGAGUGCAGAGUUUGGAUUUGGUUGAUUGAAUAUUCAAUCUUCUCCAACUUGUAACCCUAAAUUCAAAAUUGGGUAAAUUGAUUGAACCACCAUCACCAUCACCAAGCGUCGUCUUCUGCUUUCUACACCACUACCAUAAAAUCACCAUUAACGGUGUGAGUUUUAUCAACUGUAAAUCUGUGCUUUCAAUUCGAUUCUUCAUUUUGUAUAAAAAUAUGGGUUAAAGAGUUAAUUAUGGGAUUAUAAUGCUGGAAUGUCAUUAUACGGAGACAAGGAGAAAAACAAAACUUAUGAAGCUCGUUUUGAAUCUUAUGAUGGGUAUGUCAACUUGGAUCUCCAAUUUCUUGUGCCACAAUUGAUUGUGCCAUAUAAUGAUGUCUAAAGUACUAUUGGACCAUGAUCUCUUGAAAUGCCAGCUUAUGUCAACUUAUCAGCGACUCUCACUCCCAUUCGGGAUGAUAAAAUACUAGUCACGUGCCCUGUAACUGAAAAAAAUAAAGGGCGUAAUGCUAUAUCAUUUUCAUUGUUCGUUCUGUUCAAAUCAUAUUACACUUUGUUGAUUUCUGUAGCUAUGAAGUUAUAAGUGUUCUCACUCGUGCAACUAAUUCGCUCAAGGUCACUUUUUUAGAGGUUUGUCAAGUGUUCUCUUUUCCGAACAAAUUGCCAAAAUAGGGUUUAUGUAAAAAAACUAGAGGGGAACACUUGAAAAGAGGGGAACCUGUUUUGACACUGAAAAUGAGUUUCUAUAUAGAACUGACAUGGAUGGUGGAGAGUUCUGCGUAUUUGACAGAUCUGUUAUUGUAUCCAAUGGAAUACUCCAUUCAAAGAUUUGGUGAAGAGAAAGCCAAUCGUUGAGCUGAACUAUGGAAUAUAUAUGUACAGGUAACACUAGAAGCAGAAGUGUCAAAUAAGGGAGCACUUGCGUUGUAUGGUCGUUUUUGGUUUAUCAGGGCAAAAUAGGCUCCUCCGAUAUUACUUGAAUUAGUUCUAAAGUCUACUAACUAAGAGGUAUCUGAUCCAAGUUUUUUUAGGUAUCGGUAUGACCCGUGACCAUUUUUGUUGCAUCACUAGAGUAACGACACUAAAAAUUAAGAAAAUAUGUAAUGUAAACUUCAUUUUUGCUGAAUGUAUUCUACAUUUUUCAAUCAUGGUACAGUGUUUUUCCGGAUCUUCUUUUACAUUUUUCUCCUUAUUCUAUUAUCUGCAUCGAUCUUCAUGUACAUUUUUCUCACAUAUUUUUGCCCGUUUGGUUGUGUUGUAAAUUUUGUCUGAAAAAUACACUCCAUGCCAUUAUGGCGGAACUAAAUUGUGGUACAAAAUUUAGUUUUGCGUAAAAAAAUUCGAUCGGCCGUCUCACCGUGGCAGCGGUCAUCUAGUAUGCAAAACCAAAUUUAGAACCACAACAACACCAACAAACAGGUUGUACUUGAAUCAAAUUGAAGCAUUGAAAUUUGAAAUAGAGCUUUGAAGUCAAAAUUAGAAAAAGCAGAGAAAAUGUGGUGAUACAUAUAGAACUAAUUUAUUGAUGAGCUUUAUAUCUGAAAUGCAAAUUGGGUCACUUAGAAAUGAACGGUCACGGCCAUCAGUUUGUCUUAAAAUGAGCUUUAUAUCUGAAAUCCAAAUUGUUCGUACGUUGCAUCCUGUUGUGCCCAAUUUCAA